rnacentral:misc_RNA from 1 species
AGACUCAAUCCCUCGGGUUUCCGAGAAGAUUGGAUUUGGGGGUUGCCUUGACCGGCUCUCCUUAAAAGUCUUAGCGGGGAUAGCACCGUAGUUGGCGUAAUAAGUUUCGUCAAUGAAGGUGUGAUGUCUGCUUACAAUCGCCUUUGGGCACUUUUGA